CAGCAGCCGCGGGAAUACGUAGGGUGCGAGCGUUAAUCGGAAUUACUGGGCGUAAAGCGUGCGCAGGCGGCUUUGCAAGACAGAUGUGAAAUCCCCGGGCUCAACCUGGGAACUGCAUUUGUGACUGCAAGGCUAGAGUGCGGCAGAGGGAGAUGGAAUUCCGCGUGUAGCAGUGAAAUGCGUAGAUAUGCGGAGGAACACCGAUGGCGAAGGCAAUCCCCUGGGCCUGCACUGACGCUCAUGCACGAAAGCGUGGGGAGCAAACAGGAUUAGAUACCCGCGUAGUCCCUGUCUCUUAUAC
rnacentral:rRNA from 1 species